GUGCUUGCCUCAGCAGCACAGGUACUAAGGCUGUCACAAUAGAGAGAAAAUUAGCACAGCCCCUACACAGGGGUGACAGGCAGAUCUGUGAAGUGUUCCACCAAUAG